rnacentral:rRNA from 1 species
CCUACGGGAGGCAGCAGUGAGGAAUAUUGGACAAUGGAGGGAACUCUGAACCAGCGACGCCGCGUGAGGGAUGAAGUAUUUAGGUGUGUAAAGCUUCUUCAGUAGGGAAGUAAGACAUGACGGUACCUGCUUAUGACGCCUCGGCUAACUACGUGCCAGCAGCCGCGGUAAUCCGUAGGGGGCAAGCGUGAUCCGGAUUUACUGGGUGUAAAGGGAGCGUAGACGGCGAUGUAAGUCUGAAGUGAAAGGCGGGGGCCCAACCACCGGAUUGCUUUUGAAACUGUAUGGCUGGAGUGCCGGGGAGGUAAGUGGAAUUCCUAGUGUAGCGGUGAAAUGCGUAGAUAUUAGGAGGAACACCAGUGGCGAAGGCGGCUUACUAAACUGUGACUGACGUUGAUGCUCGAAAGUGUGGGGAUCAAACAGGAUUAGAUACCCGAGUAGUC